GUCUGCUGAGAAGAUGAAAAUCAGUCGUUUGCCUGGAGCCACCACUACCUCUCGCUGAUAUUUUCUGCUGAGGAACCAGUAAAUCGAGGGGCUUCAUAAAGUGUUUUGUUGCAUGGCUCUGAGUGAAUUACUUGUAAAGGGAGCAUGGAAUAUAAAAAUUCAUCUUGCAAG
rnacentral:lncRNA from 1 species